GCCAUGUGUUAUAUAUGUUAUCACAAAUGAACUGUCGUCUGAAACUCUGAGGGGUCAUACGAAGGAAGCAGUGUUUGCUGGUCCUGGAAUGAGACGUCGCUCCCCCUUUUCCCUCCAAACCUGCCAUGUGCCAGUGACUCCUUUGUUGAAAUGUUUGUACCAUGUGGUUCUGAACUAUUACCUGAUCACAAAUCAUCCACAUCCACAUCCACAUCCACAUCUCCUCACUCCUUUGUCUGCACUGAGCUGAUCCUUUCUGUUGAGAAAUAAACCUUUGUAACCUGCCCUGGACCCGGCGUGUUUGACUUCACACCACACAUUGUUCAGUGAACCAGCAUCAGGAUAAAACUGACUUUUUACAAUGGAUGAAAAGAGCUGAGACAGCUGAAGAGAGACAGGAAAUGUGGGGAGUAGAGAGCGGGGGA